CCUACGGGUGACAGCAGUGGGGAAUAUUGCACAAUGGGCGAAAGCCUGAUGCAGCGACGCCGCGUGAGUGAAGAAGUAUUUCGGUAUGUAAAGCUCUAUCAGCAGGGAAGAAAUAGCGACCUUUGGGUCGCCAGACGGUACCUGACUAAGAAGCCCCGGCUAACUACGUGCCAGCAGCCGCGGUAAUACGUAGGGGGCAAGCGUUAUCCGGAUUUACUGGGUGUAAAGGGAGCGUAGACGGCAGCACAAGUCUGAAGUGAAAUGCCGGGGCUUAACCCCGGAACUGCUUUGGAAACUGUGCAGCUAGAGUGCAGGGAAGGUAAGUGGAAUUCCUAGUGUAGCGGUGAAAUGCGUAGAUAUUAGGAGGAACACCAGUGGCGAAGGCGGCUUACUGGACUGUAACUGACGUUGAGGCUCGAAAGCGUGGGGAGCAAACAGGAUUAGAUACCCGAGUAGUC
rnacentral:rRNA from 1 species